rnacentral:pre_miRNA from 1 species
CAUAGCGUAGAUCUCAGACCUCCAAAACAAAUCUAACGGCUGAGAUUCGUCCACGUCAUCACGAUUUAAAAUUUAACUCUAGUAAAAUUUUAACUCCUGAAAUUUUACUCCCAGUAAAUUUUUUACUCCUACGAGUUAAAUUUUAACUCGUGAUGACGUGAACGAAUCUCAACCGUUGGAUUUAUUUUGGAGGGUUGAGAUCUAUGCUAUG